UACGUAGGGCGCAAGCGUUGCUCGGAAUUACUGGGCGUAAAGGGCGCGUAGGCGGAUAUCUAAGUUGGGGGUGAAAUCCCGGGGCUCAACCUCGGAAUUGCCUUCAAAACUGGAUAUCUUGAGUUCGGGAGAGGUGAGUGGAACUGCGAGUGUAGAGGUGAAAUUCGUAGAUAUUCGCAAGAACACCAGUGGCGAAGGCGGCUCACUGGCCCGAUACUGACGCUGAGGCACGAAAGCGUGGGGAGCAAACAGG
rnacentral:rRNA from 1 species